rnacentral:rRNA from 1 species
CUCCAGACUCCUACGGGAGGCAGCAGUGGGGAAUAUUGCACAAUGGGGGAAACCCUGAUGCAGCGACGCCGCGUGAGUGAAGAAGUAUUUCGGUAUGUAAAGCUCUCUCAGCAGGGAAGAAAAAAGACGGUACCUGACUAAGAAGCCCCGGCUAACUACGUGCCAGCAGCCGCGGUAAUACGUAGGGGGCAAGCGUUAUCCGGAUUUACUGGGUGUAAAGGGAGCGUAGACGGCGCGGCAAGUCUGAAGUGAAAGGCAGGGGCUUAACCCCUGAACUGCUUUGGAAACUGCCAUGCUAGAGUGCUGGAGAGGUAAGUGGAAUUCCUAGUGUAGCGGUGAAAUGCGUAGAUAUUAGGAGGAACACCAGUGGCGAAGGCGGCCUGCUGGACGACAACUGACGGUGAGGCGCGAAAGCGUGGGGAGCAAACAGGAUUAGAUACCCCCGUA